rnacentral:tmRNA from 1 species
GGGGGCGUAAAGGUUUCGACGGGGAGUUUGAGGCAGGAUAAGCGGGUAGAGGGCGGAAACCUCUUAAAAAGUCCAAACUUAAAAUUAAACGCUAACGAUAACGUAGCACUGGCAGCGUAAGCUGCGCCGCUGCUUUUGAGCAGCCCGUCUGACCGUUGAGGACCACGGCUUCGGUUCAGGCGUCAUUCAGUGGUAAAUGUGCACCGCCCGUUUGCUUUUGAAGCGGUCAUAAACAAAAAAGCUACCCGAUCAUGCAGCCCGCGCAUCGGCGGCAAGACCGGGGAAAUUCAGUAGGUGCCCUGCACCCGGAGAAAGUUCUGUCAAAGGCUUUUCGGACGCGGGUUCGAUUCCCGCCGCCUCCACCA